rnacentral:rRNA from 1 species
GUGGGGAAUAUUGGACAAUGGGCGAAAGCCUGAUCCAGCCAUGCCGCGUGUGUGAAGAAGGUCUUCGGAUUGUAAAGCACUUUAAGUUGGGAGGAAGGGCAGUAAGUUAAUACCUUGCUGUUUUGAUGUUACCGACAGAAUAAGCACCGGCUAACUUCGUGCCAGCAGCCGCGGUAAUACGAAGGGUGCAAGCGUUAAUCGGAAUUACUGGGCGUAAAGCGCGCGUAGGUGGUUUUGUAAGUUGGAGGUGAAAUCCCCGGGCUCAACCUGGGAACUGCCUCCAAAACUGCAUGACUAGAGUACGGUAGAGGGUAGUGGAAUUUCCUGUGUAGCGGUGAAAUGCGUAGAUAUAGGAAGGAACACCAGUGGCGAAGGCGACUACCUGGACUGAUACUGACACUGAGGUGCGAAAGCGUGGGGAGCAAACAGGAUUAGAAACCCUUGUAGUCC